rnacentral:tRNA from 1 species
GUCCAAGUAAUUUAACUAAAAUACUG